rnacentral:lncRNA from 1 species
GUAUAUGUUUGGGGAACACCUUGAAGCUUAUUCUUAGGGUAACAGAAAUGCAAAAUACCAUCCCCUGAUUAAAAAAAAAAAGUAAAUUUCCUAUCAUGUUAUUAGAGUGUGUAAUUCAGGUUUGGAUAGCUAAAAUCUGUUGCACAAAUUUGUUGUUCAUUGAUCAUGGUGAUUUGUUUAAUGAUACGUAAAAAGAACAUGCCAAAGCCUUGUAAGAGUUAAAAUGAAAACAACCAUUGUUUAAGGAAGAAGAAAAUCAAAACAAUAUGUAGGUGUAGAUGCACUGUACAGGAAUGUGUCUCAUCAUGUUCAGUAAAUUUAAAACACAUCAAAGUCAGGCAGAAACUAAGCUGGUGAGACUUCGAGCCUUUUUAUUUUGUCUGGGUCGUGUGUUUGUGUGUGUAGGUAUGUGUAUAUAAACACAUGCAUAUGUAUUUCUUCCUUUUAAGGAAACAAACAUAGGUAUUAAGAAGUAAUUGGGGACUUCCCUUUGUGGCUCAGAUUCGUUAACUACUGAGCCAUGAUGGGAACUCCCUGUUGGUUAGUUUUAAAUCAGCCUUCCUCAGAGUAGAACCUGUAACAGAUUUUCAAUUCUGAUAUACUGAAUCAGAACAUCUGGGAGUGGCAGCCCGAGACUGUAUUUUGAAAGAGUUCCCCAAUUGCUUCACAUGUACUCUAAGGUUUGAGAAUCACUAUUUGUCAAAGAGAGAGCCAUUCAGGUUAGAAGACCUGUGUCUGAAAUUUGCCCAUGUUUGAGGGAGGCACUGGCCAUGGUUAAAUUCUUGCUCAAUGCAAAAAGAUUGUCAUGUACCCAGCUCUUUAAAGACAGCUCUCUAAGGAAAAUAUAUUUACCUUUUAGGUAAGUUGUUCAUACUGCCAGCAUUUGCUCCUCGUAUGUCUCAGUAUUUGUCUUAGAUAUUUUUCUAGUCUCAUGAAAUGGAAAUGGCUCCAUUUCUUGGUUGCUAUUUUGUCAAGUCUUUUGUCCACCCACUUACAAGAAAAGGUGUUAUAUGCAGGAUGUCAUAUACUGCUUCCUUCAGGACAGACCCCCUUGUCCUCACUUUUCAAACUUUACUGUUCCUUAUGACCUAGAGGGUGGUAAGUCAUCCACCUGGCUUGAUUCGAGGAGCAGUGACAGGCUCACCUGACUCAACAUUAUUUGAAAAUGUAAUACUUACCAUGGACUACUUACACUGCAUGGAGCAUUUAUCCUAAGAUUCCAAUCAAAGUUCUACAAUCAGUUUUGAUUGGGAAACACUUCAGUUUGAUAUCCAUCUUGGAAAUAAACAGUGCACAUUUAGCAUAGUAAACAUUCUAGGAAAAAGAAAAAAAAAA